GAACCGUUGGAAUUCGGAAGUCGAAAGGGUUGGGUCGAUGUAUUGGCGCUUAAUAUAUACCUUCUUCACUCAUCCGACUGUUCUCCAAACACCACCGGAGACAUGUUUCUUUGAAGAAGAAGAAGAAGAAGAAGAGGGUUUUAUUUGGAGGCACAACCUUCUCCUCUUUUUCUUCUAGCGACACCACCGCUUCCUCAUUUUUUCAUUUUCCCGCGUUCAAUAAUCCUCUGCGUUUCCCUCUUCGUCUCUUAGGUCUCUUUUCUUCGUUACUGGAUUCAUCGGUCAGUUUGGUUCAAGGUCAUCAUCGAUCAAGAAAAAAACACAGAUCUUUUUUCGCUCUGGGUUUCUUUCUCUUUCUCCUCCAUCUAUUUUUUUCUUUGUUGGUUUUUUGAAUUUUUGUUAUCAAAUUGAAUCCAAAGCAUGAAAGCAUCCAUCAAACGAAGAUGACUGGUCAAGCAAGUGGUGAUGUCGCUAAAAUUUGAAUAUUUUUGAAACCCAAAAAAAGUAUUUCUUUGUUGUUUGAUGUAAUGUCUUAAUUAACCUAAAGAGUUGUUUUGCUUUGUUUUGAGGGUAAAAAUGUUGCCGGAUUAAAUUAUGUAGAGAGAAGUAAAUAAUCACAAACCAAAUUAAAAUAUUAAACAACUUAUUGAAUUAUUAGAAAUUCAAUUAGGGAAAGAUAAUUUAUUGUUUGUGUUUCUAACUCAAUUAGAAAUAGAAGUGUACUUUGGUUCUAACUAAAAGUUGUGUGUUUCUGUUUAAUUAAGUUAUGUUUCCUUUCCAAUUAAAUUAAAAUACAUGAGAUGUUCCACUUCCACAACCAAAUCUGUUUAUAGAUGUUCACAACAUUCAUCACAUGUUAUAAUGCUUUCCUUUCCUAUUAAGUAACUUGUUUAAUAGCCAAAUGAAUGUGCAGGCCUUUUUGUUGUUUCUUCAACUGCCAUGGAUCCUAAGUAUCAACAAGUUUGUGGAUCUUUUUAACAUGAAUCAUUUACCCCUGCUUCUUCUUCUUAACGAUGCUGAUGUUUACUUUUAUAUAUCUGAUGGGGUGAUAAUCAAGUCUAUUUGGUGUAUAAAAUCAUUAUAUAUGCGAAUAUUGUUUAAAAAUUUCCUGUUUUUUUGUAGGAACCUCUUCAUUCAGCUGUGAUAUGCUUGAACAAGCAUCUUAUGGUUAUCUUUAUUUCAUUCGAACCGAUUAUUUGAAAAAAGUUUGAUGUGGUAAUGAAACAUAUGUUGGAAAUUGUGGCUUCUAGUCAUCAAUCAAAGCCAAUGCAAUAAUUUUGUUGCAUAUAUGUAGGAUGGAAUUAAGCACAAAAUCCAGCUAAAGAAUUAUUUAACAAAUCUCAAGACAUUGGAGAGAAGCCCUGUUAUGUUAUCUGGUUUCAUUAACAGAAGAGGCUAAUAAUAAUGCACAGGUAGUCUAAUUGCUUCUGCAUUCCAGUUAUAUAUUCUCAUGUUUUAUGUCUUUUGCAUCAAUCAUACACAUGACAAAUACCAAUUCAUUUGAGAAAUUCUAUUCAUUUCAAAAAUAUUUUCUGAACCACUUCCAUACAUUAAUCUGAGAUUGAUUGUUUUUCUUAAUUUCAACUUGUUUGUCAAAUUCCAUUCAUUACUCUGCAACAAGAAAAGGUUUUAGAAACCAAAUAAAGAACUUAUGUUAUGGUGGAGAAAAGGAAAAGAAGGUCCCCUGAGAAUCAAAGUGUCAACAUAUGUGGAUGUUCCUAAGAUGAAAUAUACAUCCGAUGAUCAACCAUCAUACCCUGUUGGUGUCAUUUGUGUGUGUACUACAAAGAUGAAGUGCAAACGUAUGUUAUGUAUAAAUAUAAUAAUCCUUAUUCUCUUCUCUUCUGCUUUUGGCAUGCAUUAGACUGAUGUCAAUGGGACACAAAUUCAAAAUUGCAAUUUUAUAGUUAACAUUUCUAAGAUUUUGUGUAAUUGAUGAAGAAGAAGGAUGCAUGGUUUGGCUUCAUACCUGGAGGGUGCUUAAAGAUUAUAUUCAUGGGUAAGAUAUAAUAAACUAAUCUUUAAUGUAAAACUUGAAAGAUACAAAUACAAUGGUGAAGGAAAUUGCAAUUAGAUUUAGAG